AUACGUAGGGUGCGAGCGUUGUCCGGAAUUACUGGGCGUAAAGAGCUCGUAGGUGGUUUGUCGCGUCGUCUGUGAAAUUCCGGGGCUUAACUCCGGGCGUGCAGGCGAUACGGGCAUAACUUGAGUACUGUAGGGGAGACUGGAAUUCCUGGUGUAGCGGUGAAAUGCGCAGAUAUCAGGAGGAACACCGGUGGCGAAGGCGGGUCUCUGGGCAGUAACUGACGCUGAGGAGCGAAAGCAUGGGUAGCGAACAGGAUUAGAUACCCUGGUAGUCCAUGCCGUAAACGGUGGGCGCUAAGUGUAGGGGUCUUCCACGACUUCUGUGCCGUAGCUAACGCAUUAAGCGCCCCGCCUGGGGAGUACGGCCGCAAGGCUAAAACUCAAAGGAAUUGACGGGG
rnacentral:rRNA from 1 species